rnacentral:tRNA from 1 species
UCCCCAGUGGCGUAAUUGGUUAGCGCACGGUACUUAUAAUACCGGGGUUGUGAGUUCGAGCCUCACCUGGGGAA